GGGUCAGUAGGUUGGUCGUGCCACCGGUACGUACUGGUCUCACUGAUUCCUCCUUCCUGAAGAACCGUAAUGCCAUUAAUUUGGUGUUGCGGGGAAACAGGACUGUUACUUUGAAAAAAUUAGAGUGUUUAAAGCAAGAUAACGCUUGAAUACAUUAGCACGGAAUAAUGAAAUAGGACGAUCGAUCCUAUUUUGUUGGUUUCUAGGAUUGACGUA
rnacentral:rRNA from 1 species